UACGUAGGGGGCAAGCGUUGUCCGGAAUCAUUGGGCGUAAAGCGCGUGUAGGCGGCCCGGUAAGUCCGCUGUGAAAGUCCAGGGCUCAACCCUGGGAUGCCGGUGGAUACUGUCGGGCUCGAGUCCGGAAGAGGCGAGUGGAAUUCCUGGUGUAGCGGUGAAAUGCGCAGAUAUCGGGAAGAACACCUAUGGCGAAGGCAGCUCUCUGGGACGGUACUGACGCUGAGACGCGAAAGCGUGGGGAGCGAACAGG
rnacentral:rRNA from 1 species